GAAAGAACACGCUCUUUCGACUCGCAUAUGCAAGUCUUUUGAGCGAUUCUUUCUCUAUGGCAUACGAUUUGUUUUAGCGUGGCCUAUAGGGCGAUGAAGGUUCAAGGGAAGAGGGGCUUACGGUGGAUACCUAGGCAUUCAGAGGCGAAGAAGGGCGUCGUGGCCGACGAAAUGCUCCGGGGAGCUGGGAUUGU
rnacentral:rRNA from 1 species